rnacentral:misc_RNA from 1 species
AACCUAGCACACCUGCGGUGUGUACCUGCGGAGGGAUCAUUACUGAGUGAGGGCCUUCGGGCUCGACCUCCAACCCUUUGUGAACACAACUUGUUGCUUCGGGGGCGACCCUGCCGUUUCGACGGCGAGCGCCCCCGGAGGCCUUCAAACACUGCAUCUUUGCGUCGGAGUUUAAGUAAAUUAAACAAAACUUUUAACAAUGGAUCU